rnacentral:rRNA from 1 species
UACGUAGGGUGCAAGCGUUGUCCGGAAUUAUUGGGCGUAAAGAGCUCGUAGGCGGUCUGUCGCGUCUGCUGUGAAAACUCAGGGCUUAACCCUGAGCUUGCAGUGGGUACGGGCAGACUAGAGUGCGGUAGGGGAGACUGGAAUUCCUGGUGUAGCGGUGAAAUGCGCGGAUAUCAGGAGGAACACCGAUGGCGAAGGCAGGUCUCUGGGCAUUAACUGACGCUGAGGAGCGAAAGCAUGGGGAGCGAACAGG